CCCAGCUGGACCCCACGAACACUACUGCUGACAGGAAUAUCAGACCAUUGCAGCCUAUCUCCAUUGAGUAGAAGGUAGAAUUGGCUCCUCACUCAUCUCUGCUCAAAACCAUGGAAUGUGUGCUGUGGGUGCGGUGGACAGAGUAUUAAAUAUUGCAUUGCUCGAGUAUGCUAGGUAUCAUCCAAAAGGUUUUCUGUUCUGUGAGGAGACUCGAGUAGCAGAAGCUUGAUAAGCACUUGUUAUUGUGGUCUGCCCAGGUGAACAAGCACAGAUAGCACAUCAAGUCAAGGAUGCACCGUUCACACAGCCAAAGACAAGCCGUGCCAGCUGAGGUAAACCUGGGUUACUAAUGCACACAAGUAAGGUCUAGACUCCAACCAGUGAAACCCAAACAAAAUUUCAUGAGCCAAAUAAAUGUUUGUUCUUUUCAAACACUAA